rnacentral:rRNA from 1 species
GUAGGGGUGCAAGCGUUAAUCGGAAUUACUGGGCGUAAAGCGUGCGCAGGCGGUUUUGUAAGUCUGACGUGAAAUCCCCGGGGCUCAACCUGGGAAUUGCGUUGGAGACUGCAAGGCUAGAAUCUGGCAGAGGGGGGUAGAAUUCCACGUGUAGCAGUGAAAUGCGUAGAGAUGUGGAGGAACACCGAUGGCGAAGGCAGCCCCCUGGGUCAAGAUUGACGCUCAUGCACGAAAGCGUGGGGAGCAAACAGGAUUAGAUACCCUGGUAGUCCACGCCCUAAACGAUGUCUACUAGUUGUCGGGUUUUAAUUAACUUGGUAACGCAGCUAACGCGUGAAGUAGACCGCCUGGGGAGUACGGUCGCAAGAUUA